AACGAACGCUGGCGGCAGGCUUAACACAUGCAAGUCGAGCGCCCCGCAAGGGGAGCGGCAGACGGGUGAGUAACGCGUGGGAAUCUACCCAUCCCUACGGAAUAGCUCCGGGAAACUGGAAUUAAUACCGUAUACGCCCUACGGGGGAAAGAUUUAUCGGGGAUGGAUGAGCCCGCGUUGGAUUAGCUAGUUGGUGGGGUAAAGGCCUACCAAGGCGACGAUCCAUAGCUGGUCUGAGAGGAUGAUCAGCCACAUUGGGACUGAGACACGGCCCAAACUCCUACGGGAGGCAGCAGUGGGGAAUAUUGGACAAUGGGGGCAACCCUGAUCCAGCCAUGCCGCGUGAGUGAUGAAGGCCUUAGGGUUGUAAAGCUCUUUCACCGGGGAAGAUAAUGACGGUACUUGAGGAGGAAGCCCCGGCUAACUACGUGCCAGCAGCCGCCGUAACAC
rnacentral:rRNA from 1 species